AGAGUUUGAUUAUGGCUCAGAACGAACGCUGGCGGCGCGUUUAAGCAUGCAAGUCGAGCGGCAAGGGCCUUCGGGCCCCUAGAGCGGCGGACGGGUGAGUAACACGUGGACAAUCUGCCCCCCGGCCCGGGAUAGCCCAGGGAAACCUGGAUUAAUACCGGAUGAGACGGGACCCGCGAUGGCGGGAUCCGGGAAAGGCGCUGCGGCGCCGCCGGGGGAUGAGUCUGCGUCCCAUUAGCUAGACGGCGGGGUAACGGCCCACCGUGGCGACGAUGGGUAGCCGGCCUGAGAGGGUGGACGGCCACAUUGGAACUGAGACACGGUCCAGACUCCUACGGGAGGCAGCAGCUAAGAAUCUUCCGCAAUGGGCGAAAGCCUGACGGAGCCGACGCCGCGUGAACGAAGAAGGCCGUGAGGUUGUAAAGUUCUUUUCGGGAGGGGAACAACCGUGGCAGGGAAUGGCCGCGGGAUGACGUGAAUCCCGGAAUAAGCCCCGGCUAACUACGUGCCAGCCGCGGC
rnacentral:rRNA from 1 species